rnacentral:rRNA from 1 species
UACGGAGGGGGUUAGCGUUGUUCGGAAUUACUGGGCGUAAAGCGCGCGUAGGCGGAUUGGAAAGUUGGGGGUGAAAUCCCGGGGCUCAACCUCGGAACUGCCUCCAAAACUCCCAGUCUUGAGUUCGAGAGAGGUGAGUGGAACUCCGAGCGUAGAGGUGAAAUUCGUAGAUAUUCGGAAGAACACCAGUGGCGAAGGCGGCUCACUGGCUCGAUACUGACGCUGAGGUGCGAAAGUGUGGGGAGCAAACAGG